rnacentral:piRNA from 1 species
UGGAGCUCACAUUCCCGUACCACAGC